rnacentral:rRNA from 1 species
GACGAACGCUGGCGGCGUGCCUAAUACAUGCAAGUAGAACGCACAGUUUAUACCGUAGCUUGCUACACCAUAGACUGUGAGUUGCGAACGGGUGAGUAACGCGUAGGUAACCUGCCUAUUAGAGGGGGAUAACUAUUGGAAACGAUAGCUAAUACCGCAUAAUAGUAUGUAACACAUGUUAGAUGCUUGAAAGAUGCAAUUGCAUCGCUAGUAGAUGGACCUGCGUUGUAUUAGCUAGUAGGUAGGGUAAAGGCCUACCUAGGCAACGAUACAUAGCCGACCUGAGAGGGUGAUCGGCCACACUGGGACUGAGACACGGCCCAGACUCCUACGGGAGGCAGCAGUAGGGAAUCUUCGGCAAUGGGGGGAACCCUGACCGAGCAACGCCGCGUGAGUGAAGAAGGUUUUCGGAUCGUAAAGCUCUGUUGUUAAGGAAGAACGAGUGUGAGAAUGGAAAGUUCAUACUGUGACG